ACUAAUGAACCAGCCACGGGCAGCAACAACCAUUUCAAAUAACUUAAGGUUCUAGUUCAUUACUGCAACAACCACUUCCGUGCUGGGAAUGAGGAAGUAGUAUUAGGCAAUUUAUAUAUAUAUAUAUGAAUAUAUAUAUAUAUAUAUAAAUCCUAUAUUAGACAUAAGAUUGUGAAGAAAAAGUCCAUGCACCCCUUCCCUUUUGCUUAGUUUGAGCAUUCCAAAUUUCUGUUUUAUGAAUGUCUUCUUUAGG